rnacentral:rRNA from 1 species
AUUGAACGCUGGCGGCAGGCCUAACACAUGCAAGUCGAACGGAGUGGCGGACGGGUGAGUAAUGCCUAGGAAUCUGCCUGGUCGUUGGGGAUAACGUCCGGAAACGGGCGCUAAUACCGCCUACUAUCAGAUUAGCCUAGGUCGGAUUAGCUAGUUGGUGGGGUAAAGGCCUACCAAGGCGACGAUCCGUAACUGGUCUGAGAGGAUGAUCAGUCACACUGGAACUGGGACACGGUCCAGACUCUAAGGGGAGGAAGCAGUGGGGAAUAUUGGACAAUGGGCGAAAGCCUGAUCCAGACAUGCCGGGGAUGUGAAGAAGGUCUUCGGAUUGUAAAGCACGUUAAGUUGGGAGGCGUUACCAACAGAAUAAGCAACGGCUAACUUCGUGCCAGCAGCCGCGGUAAUUC